rnacentral:rRNA from 1 species
GAUGAACGCUGGCGGCGUGCUUAACACAUGCAAGUCGAGCGGUGAAGCGACUUCCUUUUUGGUGGGAGUGGAUGGGCGGCGAACGGGUGAGUAACACGAUAGUCACCUGCUACCUCCUUCUGGAUAACCGGAAGAAAGUGUUGAUACUACGGGAUAUUCUGGACCUGUUGCUUCAUGAGUCUAGGAAAGUUUUUGUUUCGGUUGGGGAUGGGCCCGCGGCGUAUCAGCUUGUUGGUGAGGUGAUGGCCUACCAAGGCGGUGACGGGUAGCCGGCCUGAGAGGGUGGACGGGCACGCAGGUGAUGAGCCGUCGAGCCGCCUCCGACGGGAAGCAGCAGGGAGGAAUCCGGCACGAGCGGCGGCAUGCUGAUGCAGCGACGCCGGGGUGAGGAAGGUGUUCGUCUGGUUGUGAUCCGCUUUCGCCGGAGAAGCAGGCCGGCCGCGUUUGUGGGUGGGUUGACGGUAGCUGGAUAAGAAGCGCCGGCUAACUACGUG